CAGGCUUAACACAUGCAAGUCGAGGGGCAGCACAGGUAGCAAUACCGGGUGGCGACCGGCGCACGGGUGAGUAACGCGUAUGCAACUUACCUAUCAGAGGGGGAUAACCCGGCGAAAGUCGGACUAAUACCGCAUGAAGCAGGGGCCCCGCAUGGGGAUAUUUGCUAAAGAUUCAUCGCUGAUAGAUAGGCAUGCGUUCCAUUAGGCAGUUGGCGGGGUAACGGCCCACCAAACCGACGAUGGAUAGGGGUUCUGAGAGGAAGGUCCCCCACAUUGGUACUGAGACACGGACCAAACUCCUACGGGAGGCAGCAGUGAGGAAUAUUGGUCAAUGGCCGAGAGGCUGAACCAGCCAAGUCGCGUGAGGGAUGAAGGUUCUAUGGAUCGUAAACCUCUUUUAUAAGGGAAUAAAGUGCGGGACGUGUCCCGUUUUGUAUGUACCUUAUGAAUAAGGAUCGGCUAACUCCGUGCCAGCAGCCGCGGUAAUACGGAGGAUCCGAGCGUUAUCCGGAUUUAUUGGGUUUAAAGGGUGCGUAGGCGGCCUUUUAAGUCAGCGGUGAAAGUCUGUGGCUCAACCAUAGAAUUGCCGUUGAAACUGGGGGGCUUGAGUAUGUUUGAGGCAGGCGGAAUGCGUGGUGUAGCGGUGAAAUGCAUAGAUAUCACGCAGAACCCCGAUUGCGAAGGCAGCCUGCCAAGCCAUGACUGACGCUGAUGCACGAAAGCGUGGGGAUCAAACAGGAUUAGAUACCCUGGUAGUCCACGCAGUAAACGAUGAUCACUAGCUGUUUGCGAUACACUGUAAGCGGCACAGCGAAAGCGUUAAGUGAUCCACCUGGGGAGUACGCCGGCAACGGUGAAACUCAAAGGAAUUGACGGGGGCCCGCACAAGCGGAGGAACAUGUGGUUUAAUUCGAUGAUACGCGAGGAACCUUACCCGGGUUUGAACGCAUUCGGACCGAGGUGGAAACACCUUUUCUAGCAAUAGCCGUUUGCGAGGUGCUGCAUGGUUGUCGUCAGCUCGUGCCGUGAGGUGUCGGCUUAAGUGCCAUAACGAGCGCAACCCUUGCCACUAGUUACUAACAGGUAAAGCUGAGGACUCUGGUGGGACUGCCAGCGUAAGCUGCGAGGAAGGCGGGGAUGACGUCAAAUCAGCACGGCCCUUACAUCCGGGGCGACACACGUGUUACAAUGGCGUGGACAAAGGGAGGCCACCUGGUGACAGGGAGCGAAUCCCCAAACCACGUCUCAGUUCGGAUCGGAGUCUGCAACCCGACUCCGUGAAGCUGGAUUCGCUAGUAAUCGCGCAUCAGCCAUGGCGCGGUGAAUACGUUCCCGGGCCUUGUACACACCGCCCGUCAAGCCAUGGGAGCCGGGGGUACCUGAAGUCCGUAACCGAAAGGAUCGGCCUAGGGUAAAACUGGUGACUGGGGCUAAGUC
rnacentral:rRNA from 1 species